rnacentral:rRNA from 1 species
UACGUAGGGGGCUAGCGUUGUCCGGAUUUAUUGGGCGUAAAGAGCUCGUAGGCGGCUUGUCGCGUCGGAUGUGAAAGCCCGGGGCUUAACUCCGGGUCUGCAUUCGAUACGGGCAGGCUAGAGUCCGGUAGGGGAGCAUGGAAUUCCUGGUGUAGCGGUGAAAUGCGCAGAUAUCAGGAGGAACACCAGUGGCGAAGGCGGUGCUCUGGGCCGGAACUGACGCUGAGGAGCGAAAGCGUGGGGAGCAAACAGG